rnacentral:tRNA from 1 species
GCCAGGGUGGCAUUGCGGUUUGAGUGCUGGACUAUGAUUCUGGAGACCAGGGUUCGAUACCCAGCUCGGCCA